rnacentral:lncRNA from 1 species
AACCAUCUGAUCAGUCAAAAAUUUCUUUUGUGUGUGACCUCAUCGGUUCUAUUUUGUUUGGUAGUGAGAUAUAUUAUGAUCCCUAUCAUAAUAUCAUUGAAACUCUUUUUAAUGGGUUGGAACCAUUCCAACUCUGUCCACCAAGGAUCAUCGAUCAUCAAGAUGAUGCUUGUGGGUCUCACAAUCCAUCAGUAAUAUCUAGCAGUAUGUAGUGGCAAUCCCACAGAAUAAAAGAUGAUGAACCUCUAGGUGCAGUUAACAUAUGAUACAGUC